rnacentral:rRNA from 1 species
UACGGAGGGUGCGAGCGUUGUCCGGAAUCACUGGGCGUAAAGGCGCGUAGGCGGCCUGAUAAGUAGGGGUGAAAUCCUGCGGCUUAACCGCAGGGCUGCCUUCUAAACUGUCAGGCUAGAGCACAGUAGAGGCAGGUGGAAUUCCCGGUGUAGCGGUGGAAUGCGUAGAGAUCGGGAAGAACAUCAGUGGCGAAGGCGGCCUGCUGGGCUGUUGCUGACGCUGAGGCGCGACAGCGUGGGGAGCAAACAGG